rnacentral:rRNA from 1 species
AACGAACGCUGGCGGCAUGCCUAACACAUGCAAGUCGAACGAGACCUUCGGGUCUAGUGGCGCACGGGUGCGUAACGCGUGGGAAUCUGCCCUUGGGUUCGGAAUCACAGUUGGCAACGACUGCUAAUACCGGAUGAUGACGUAAGUCCAAAGAUUUAUCGCCCAAGGAUGAGCCCGCGUAGGAUUAGCUAGUUGGUGAGGUAAAGGCUCACCAAGGCGACGAUCCUUAGCUGGUCUGAGAGGAUGAUCAGCCACACUGGGACUGAGACACGGCCCAGACUCCUACGGGAGGCAGUAGUGGGGAAUAUUGGACAAUGGGCGAAAGCCUGAUCCAGCAAUGCCGCGUGAGUGAUGAAGGCCUUAGGGUUGUAAAGCUCUUUUACCCGGGAUGAUAAUGACAGUACCGGGAGAAUAAGCUCCGGCUAACUCCGUG